rnacentral:rRNA from 1 species
AUUGAACGCUGGCGGCAGGCCUAACACAUGCAAGUCGAACGGCGCGGCGGACGGGUGAGUAAUGUCUGGGAAACUGCCUGAUGGAGGGGGAUAACUACUCGAAACGGGCGCUAAUACCCCAUACUAUCUGAUGUGCCUAGGUCGGAUUAGCUAGUUGGUGGGGUAAAGGCCUACCAAGGCGACGCUCCGUAACUGGUCUGAGAGGAUGAUCAGUCACACUGGAACUGAGACACGGUCCAGACUCCUACGGGAGGCAGCAGUGGGGAAUAUUGGACAAUGGGCGAAAGUCUGAUCCAGCCAGGCCGCGUGUGUGAAGAAGGUCUUCGGAUUGUAAAGCACUUUAAGUUGGGAGGCGUUACCAACAGAAUAAGCACCGGCUAACUCCGUGCCAGCAGCCGCGGUAAUUC